rnacentral:lncRNA from 1 species
CUCUCAAACCAAUUUUUCAGCAAUCAGGUGCAGGUGGCACGGGUCAGCCUCUUGGUUCCAUUGGUCAGCCCUGCCCAGCCCAGAGCUGUGGCCAGGCUGAUUUGCUCGGAGUGCAGAGAUCUGCCUCAGAUGGCAUCUUGUAGAAGAGGAUUGGACAGACAAGAGAAGACUCCAGUGUGGGAUUGGAAAGAAAUCUUUUCCACCUCUGGAGAAGUUUUCCAGCGGGAAGAAUAGUGCCAUCAUUUUCCUCUGUACUGAAUACCAGAUUCGGCUAAGCGCUGUGCAAAACCAGCCCCCCAGGGCUGCCAGGCUGGUGCAAAAACAGAUCUUUCUCAACUUUGGGAUAACUCAUUCACAUUCCUGGUUUUCACAAUCAUUGCAAAACAGACCUCAGGAUUCUAGCAGCCAAGAUGCCGGGUAUAAUGAGCCUGGUCAGAGCUGCCUGGAAUUGCUAACGACUGCGGGUUUUUGUUUUUAAACCUAUGCCCUGGUUAGGGAAGGGAAACUUGUUGUGCAGGGUGCAGCAUCCCAAGCACAAAACGUGAUAAGAGGAAGAGUUAUGACUGCAGCCACCGCAGCGCGACUCCACUUUGGGGCUCUGCCAGAGUUCCCAUAAAACCCGCCUUUUUCUGGAGUCUACACCAUGCGCUCUUAUGUCAUCAAUUUAAGAGGCUUUUAUGAGAUGCCAGAGCAUGUUACUUAAAGCAUUCUCAUUUAUUUUGCCCUUAUGCUUUUAUUACAUAGAAUUUGAAUUAAAUCCAUUUGGCAAUGUUUUGCGGUGGAGGGAGGCAGGGGUCUGUCAGGAGGAGGAAAGGAAUUUGUUAGUGAGGGGAAAGCUCCUUUAGACCCCAGGGAGGGAACAGAAGUAAAUGUGCCCCGGGGUGGGAAGCGCGCCCUCCCCACAACUCGGUGAGAUGUGGAAAGUUCCUCACGCUUCACUAGGGCUUCCCUCCCUCCUACAAUCUGUGGUAGUUUUUCUAAAGGCUACUUCUGCCCUCCAUUGUUCUGUUCAAAACCCUCCAGCAACAUCACAUUGCUCUCAGAAUAAAACUCAGAUUCCACAUUUGAUAUUUUUCAUCACCUAAGAUCUGGCCUCAGUCUGCAUCUACACUUUAGAUUCUUUCCUUUUCUUCUCACUCUCCAGCUAAACACCAACUGCUACCUGUCGGUCAAGGGGGCAAGGGCCAGACAAAAUAUCACCUUGGCCUCAACAUUUCACAUUAUCCUUCCAGAAGGAAGUGGUUGGUUUCUUCUCUGAAUGCCUAUGGUGUUUUAUUGGUACAUCUUGAUGACAAUGAUCACUUUUUAUCUUGAUUUCUACAGUGCAUGCUUUUUUUCAAAAUUUUAAGUCUAGAACAACAGCUUCAUGAAUGUUCUAUCUUUGGAUCACUCUCAGCACGUAGCACAAUGAGUUGAACGUCAACCGCAUCCAAUGAAUAUCUGUUGAAUGGUUAUGUAUAUGCUGACCCCAGGAGGAAAUUUCUGAAUUAAGAAGCAUUUGUCACUUACCUAUGAGUAGGUCUUAAGUGUUUCUUUUAGAGGCUCCUCCCAGAAUCAUAUACCUCCCCCACCACCCUAAGAAAACAGGCCUGGUAACCACACAAAUCAGCCCCAUGGUUCCAUCGGUCGGCCCCACUCCAAGCUAGAGCCGCGGCCAGGCUGAUUCGCUCUGAUGUCAGAGAUCUGCAAUCAGAUGGCAUCUUGUAGAAGAUUACUAAAUACCAGGAUUGGGUUCAGCUGGUCACAAUAAAGAGGCUCCUACUCAGCCAGCACUAUUAAAACAGAGUCCAUCCUGAGAUCUUCAUGGAGCUAUAAUCAGGCCAAGCCCCUCGGGGACACCCCUGGAUCUGGGGACCUUCAUUCUGGCCCUUCACCUUGGUCAGACAUGGCCACACACCUCUCAUCUGCUUCUUUAUGUUGGGCCAUGGGCAGGCCCUUCCAUCCAGGCAAGUUCUCCCCAUGUCCAACUCGACUGCAGGACCAUUCAGCUGGGGAUCUUGCAACUAGCAGAGGGGGCUUCAGAAGCAGAAAGCAGUUAAGUAACUUGCCCAAAGUCAUGGCCCUAGCAAGAGGAUGCCACCCAGGUAAGAGUACCCGCUUCAUGAGGUUGUUGGGAGGAUGGACUCCUGCCCGGAACAGACGAACAGCUCAGUUCAUGGAAGUAGUUAUGACUAUCAUGUUAGCCUUCUCCACCCCAGUGCCAGCUGCAGCCCAUCCCAGAAGGACCUUGCUUCCUGGGGCAGCUACAGCACGAGGAAGCAAUCUAAAUGGCUGAUUUCCAAAGAGGUGCAUGAGAGAGAAGCUUUCUAAGGAUGGAAUUUCUGGAUCCACAACAAGCCUCAAUGAUCACCGCUGCCCAACUACAGUUUCCACCUGAGCUCCAGCCCUCAGCCGACACCUGCCGUGGGGUUUCUCCUCUCCUCACAGCCGGGCGGGCAGGCAGCACCUCCUUUCCCAGCUCUGCUGAUGGAGGAAGACCAAAGUGGGGAGCCAGAACCUUGGAAGUCGGGUCACAGUCCUGUGUGCAGAGCCACAGCUUGGCUGAGAGGCGUUCAAUGUUUGUGUCUUUUAGACAGCUGAGAGUUUUUUAAACAAAAAUUUGAACAGUAAUUUCCAUCCCUGAUAAAGAAUUAAAUUAUAUCAAAUGCGCAUUGUUUCUAUUCUUCUGAUAAAAAGAUCCAUAGGGGUUUUGCCCCUUGCUUUUCAAGUUGAGGCUAAUUCCAUUUCAUACGUAAUCUCCUCAAAGAGAGGAAGCCUCAGCCAAUGAAAUUGGGGGCUUCCCCUGCCUCCACUCCUGCCUGGAAAGCACGUGGACUCAUCAGCCCAUGGCAGUGGGUGUGCUUUGCACUUUUCCUGUAGUGAGGGAGGAGAAGCAGAGGCCUCCCACCCCAGACCUUCGACUAAUUCGUUAUCCAACAGAUGGGGAACACCCGCUCUGUGCCAGGCGGUAUGCUGGGCACAGGGGCUAGAAAAGAGAUGCUAUUAUGGUUCUAGGAAAGAAAAAUCAUACUCCUGUUCCAUCCUCUGAGUUCAAAACCAAUAGAGAGAUGCAUUCAAGAGUCUGACAGAUGGAGAUUAAAAUAUCAGCCUUGUUAUUGGUAAAAGCUGGAUUGGAGACAGGGCUUAGAUACGCAGCCUCCUGUUGUUUCCCACACUCACCCAACCCAUUACUGCAGAGCCGAACGACCGCAGCCUCCCCCACAGGGCAAAGCAUGCCCAGGACGCUCACUGCCAGGCUGAGAGCUGAUAACCGAGCUCCUCCACAGGAGUGACACCUGAAAAAGAAAGGAAGGAUGGAGACCAACGUACCAGCACCAGGCUCUCUCCAAGCUCACCAAUUCAACUCACCAUUUACUCCUCUGCAAGGAAGGAAUGAGUGAGGAUGAAAGGAGGGCCAGGAAUGUUGUUCCGGCUGAAGCCCUUCCACCUGGAAGCACGACGCCAGGGAACCGGAGAUGCCCCCCACAAACGUGCUCCUCCCCUCAUGGAGAAGAUGGCCCAGUGGGGAGACUGGAAAAGAAUUAUCAAAUGAUACGAUAAUUGCUUUACAGAGUGGGUGGUCCCUGGGCCAAGGCCAGAAGGAUGAGCAGCCCUUGCCAGCUGGACAAGUUGCAGAAGGACCAGAAUGUGCCAAGGCUCAGAGCCUGAUAUAAAGAGGGUGGGUGCAAGACAAGGGUGGAUGUGCAGGAAGUGACAAAGGUAGACUUUGUCCUCUGGCUCUCGAAGGAGCAGCUCCCUCUACCACCAUCUGUUUACUGUCAAGGAAUAAGGGAUCGAGCGCAGGACUCAGCAGGCAGAGGCUCCCCAGGGCAAAGACUGGCUUCCUUGGUGCCUGGUUCACAUGGGCGCUCAGCACAUAUUCGUUCUUUGAGCACACACCCAUCCCUCUGGCCGCUGUCCACCCCGCGUGGAGCAGGCCACUUUUCCUUCGUGCCUGUUUCUUUUAACUGCAGAGACCCCAGUCCGAGUCACCUUCUCACUUCCCUGAGCCUCUGUUGUGAACAUUCCCGGAGUGAUGUUUGCACAAGCCUGAUGUUCUCAGAAGCAUGGCUCUCUGUAAAUACAGAGUUUUAUUAUUAGAAGACGAUGAAUUUUUAAAAUGCCAGUUCUGGCCUUUUCAUCAUGACGGAGUGGAACUCAGGUCUGCCUACACUUUGCUCCUUCAUCAGAAACCUUGCGGGUCUCAGCUCGGUGCUGAGGACAUGACUUUGGGCAGCGGUCAAGGUCACAGCCACCCAGAGGAGCCAGGGAGAUCCUGUGAAUGAUGGAGGCUGCCCAGCUCAAGCAUGGCCACCCAACUCUUGGGAAUGUUCAGGAAUUCAGGUCCAGCAUGGCUUGUCAAGAGAAGGCAGAAAUCUGUAUUUUAUGUAAAAUCUCCUGAAUUUUAAACAUUUGCCUCAAAAUCCAAAAUUAAAAAAGAAUGGUAUGAAGGCCUAACAUGACACAGCUGUGGGCUGAAUGUGCUCCCCUCCUGCCGCCCACUGCCCUCUGGCUUCUGAUCGGUGGCAGCUCUGCCCCUAGUGGCAGGUUUCCAUAGCUGGCCCCUAUUGCUGAAAGGUGAGCUCAGGUCUCGAGGAAGUGACCUGGGUCACCCAGGGGAGGGCAAUGUCUGUGCUGUGCAUAAUAUUUUAAACUAUGGUUCUUAACAUUUUCAGCUUUACACUAAUUUUUCCUUUAAUGUUUCCAGUCGGAGGGCUUGCCCUGGUUGAGGUUGAUGUCCUCUGCACUGAUUCUUACCCAGAUGGGGAGACUGUGGGAUGAGGCACACAGAGCAGAGCCUGUGCCGUCACACAGGUCUUGGUUCAAAUCUUGGUUCUACCCUUUAUAGGCUGUGUGAUUUGGGCAAGUUGCUUAACCUUUCUGGACCUCUUCUGCAAAAGAGGGAUGGUCCUAAUCCCUAUUUCAAAGGACACCUGCGAGAGAGACUUCAGGGAAAGCAUCGAGGACCCUCUCUGGCAGAGUGAAACCCCAGAUACAGGGUUCCCUUCCCCUCAGUGCCUCCACUCCCAACGUAGAGUCCCAGGGGAUGUGGAAAGCCAGGUGGGCACUUCCGGGGAGAGAAAAAUAAGGAGACCAGAAUCAGCU